rnacentral:rRNA from 1 species
UGGGGAAUAUUGGACAAUGGGCGCAAGCCUGAUCCAGCAAUGCCGCGUGUGUGAAGAAGGCCUGCGGGUUGUAAAGCACUUUAAGCAGGAAAGAAGGGCAUGAUGAUAAUACCAUCAUGCAUUGACGUUACCUGCAGAAUAAGCACCGGCUAACUCCGUGCCAGCAGCCGCGGUAAUACGGAGGGUGCGAGCGUUAAUCGGAAUUACUGGGCGUAAAGCGCGCGUAGGCGGUUUGAUAAGUCUGAUGUGAAAGCCCUGGGCUUAACCUGGGAACUGCAUUGGAUACUGUCAGACUCGAGUGUGGUAGAGGGUAGUGGAAUUUCCGGUGUAGCAGUGAAAUGCGUAGAGAUCGGAAGGAACACCAGUGGCGAAGGCGGCUACCUGGACCAACACUGACGCU